rnacentral:rRNA from 1 species
GACAGCCAGGAUGUUGGCUUAGAAGCAGCCAUCAUUUAAAGAAAGCGUAAUAGCUCACUGGUCGAGUCGGCCUGCGCGGAAGAUGUAACGGGGCUAAACCAUGCACCGAAGCUGCGGCAGCGACACUAUGUGUUGUUGGGUAGGGGAGCGUUCUGUAAGCCUGUGAAGGUGUGCUGUGAGGCAUGCUGGAGGUAUCAGAAGUGCGAAUGCUGACAUAAGUAACGAUAAAGCGGGUGAAAAGCCCGCUCGCCGGAAGACCAAGGGUUCCUGUCCAACGUUAAUCGGGGCAGGGUGAGUCGA